rnacentral:lncRNA from 1 species
AGUGGCCGGUGCGCGCGCCAGAGGGAGACGUUGUGUGGCGCGCCCGCCGGGGAGUCCCCCUGCUUAGAGGCGCGGCGGGGAGGCCGGGCCCCGUAGCCGGUGGGCAAUAGCAGGCCUGCGGGCAGGCCGGCGCCGAGGAAUCCGAGCAGCGCCUUGGACUCGCCAGUCCUCUCCGCCCGCGCCUCCCGGCCCUAGAAGUCCCAAGACCGAUCUGCGGGCUCCAGGGCUCACAAGCCGGAGAGCGAGGCGCGCCAAGAGACGAGGAUGGCUGCAGGAGUCUUGCCGCAGAAUGAAAAUCCGUAUUCCACGUUGGUGAAUGACAGUGGGCAUGCUGCAUACAUGGAUGAAAAUUCAGGCCGCCCAACACCUAAAUACACAAAAGUGGGAGAACGUUUGCGGCAUGUCAUCCCUGGACACAUGGC